rnacentral:tRNA from 1 species
GGCAAGAUGGCCGAGUGGUCUAAGGCGCUGUGUUCAGGUCGCAGUCUCCCUGAGGCGUGGGUUCGAAUCCCACUCUUGUCA